UGUGUGUGUGUGUGUGUGUGUGUGUAUACACCACAUCUUGUGUCACUUUCUUAAUGGGGCCCUGACCACCCACUUAAAAUUGCUACCUGCCGCCUCCCAAGCACUCCAGUUCCCCUUAUCUUGUUCUCAUUUUUCUUUUUCCCCGUAUCACCUUCCAAUACACUGAAUGAUUUACUAAUCUCAGUUGAUUUUUCACUGCUGAUAUCCCUGUUAGAAUGAAAGCCCUCACAGGGAGCAGGGCCUUGAUCCUGUUUGGCCACUGAUGUAUCCCACGUGCCUGGAAGAGGGCCUGGCAGGUAGCAGAUGAGGAACGGAGUCUCCAGGAAGUGAAGUGACUUGCCCAAGACGCUUGGAGCGGUGAUUCAAGCCUGGAUCUGCCUGACCCUUUCUGCCAUAUCACGCUGUCCUGCAAGACACUGGACAGGAUCUCUCAUGACUCUUGAGGACAUGAUGGAUGGUCGUGAGGGCACAGAAGGGGCUCCCAUCUGGCUGAAUGACAACCAUGGAAUGUUCUUAUAAGUGGAACCAGUUUACAGGAACUUUGUGGCCAGACCACCUGUGAACAGCUGUAAGAACAAAGGAUUCCUGAGUCAAGAAGUUUGCAACAACCAGACACACCCGCUUUCCUUUUAGCAGAAAAGAAGCCUGAAUUCUGACUCAG